rnacentral:rRNA from 1 species
GACGAACGCUGGCGGCGUGCUUAACACAUGCAAGUCGAACGGAAAGGCCCUGCUUGCAGGGUACUCGAGUGGCGAACGGGUGAGUAACACGUGGGUGAUCUGCCCUGCACUUCGGGAUAAGCCUGGGAAACUGGGUCUAAUACCGGAUAGGAGCCAUUUUUAGUGUGAUGGUUGGAAAGUUUUUUCGGUGUAGGAUGAGCUCGCGGCCUAUCAGCUUGUUGGUGGGGUAAUGGCCUACCAAGGCGGCGACGGGUAGCCGGCCUGAGAGGGUGGACGGCCACAUUGGGACUGAGAUACGGCCCAGACUCCUACGGGAGGGAGCAGUGGGGAAUAUUGCACAAUGGGCGCAAGCCUGAUGCAGCGACGCCGCGGGGGGGAGGACGGCCUUCGGGUUGUAAACUCCUUUCGCUAGGGACGAAGCUUUUUGUGACGGUACCUAGAUAAGAAGCACCGGCUAACUACGUG